GAUGAACGCUAGCGGCAGGCCUAAUACAUGCAAGUCGGACGGGAUUCAGGAGCUUGCUUCUGAUGAGAGUGGCGCACGGGUGCGUAACACGUAUGUAACCUACCUUUAUCAGGGGGAUAGCCUCUCGAAAGAGAGAUUAAGCCCGCAUAAAAUCACAGCACAGCAUUGUGUAAUGAUCAAAUAUUUAUAGGAUAAAGAUGGGCAUGCGGAACAUUAGCUAGAUGGCGGGGUAACGGCCCACCAUGGCGACGAUGUUUAGGGGAUCUGAGAGGAUGGCCCCCCACAAGGGUACUGAGACACAGACCAAAAUCCUACGGGAGACAGCGGAAAGGAAGAUUGGUCAAUGGGCGGAGGCCUAGACCAGCCAUGCCGCGUACAGAAAGACGGCCCUACGGAUUGUAAGCUGCUAUUAUACGGGAAUAAACCCAGAUACGUGUAUCUGGCUGAAUGUACUGGAAGAAUAAGGAUCGGCUAACUCCGUG
rnacentral:rRNA from 1 species